rnacentral:lncRNA from 1 species
CUACCGGCGGCCGACCAAUAGCGAGGCACGCCGGCCUUGCGCUUGCACGUCGGCCGCGGCGCCCGACGCAGGCGCGGCUCCGGGCGGCCUGGAAAACCCGGGAUGGAGCGGGGAGGCCGCGGAGCCGACGCGCGGCACCGCGGCGCGCAGUGCCGCGCGUGGGGCGAGGGCGGGAGCGGGGCUGGGGUCAAGGUCGGCGCGGGCAAGCGGCAGGGGCCCGCACGCGCCUCACCUGGCCCAGCGCUUUGCAGCUGCUGUCACGCGUGCACACUCAGGCUUGGUCGGAGCCUGCCGCGUGCUGGCAGCUGAAAUCCAGGCGUUUCCACGGUUGCAGUGGCUGUGAGACCCCAGCAGUAUGCACCACGUGCAGGGAACCCAAGCCGGAAGGUAUGAAGAGGGUGAGCUUGUCCCAUUGCACUGAUGUGUCUCAAGGAUGUCCCUACUAUGUAGACAUAAAGCUCCUUGAUGAAAAGAUGGACAAUGCCUGGCAAGUGGAAAUGACCUUGAGCUGUAUGUCUGACUCACUCCCAGUGAUGGACACUCAGCACGAAGCUGCCUCAGGAAAUCAGGCCACUCCAUCCAUCUGACUGGGCUGCCAGGCGCCACUUUCAUCUCUGUCCUUGACUGGGGGUAGCCUGUCCAUCUCGACAAGAUAGAAACAGCACUUUGAAUUGCAUGGAAAAAAUGUACUCUACAGAGAGGAGACAAAUACUCUUCUUUUGGCCAAGCUUUUAGAGGAAAUAUAAGGUAUGUUCAUUAAAAUAUGUCCCUGCUGAUAAUCAGCACUGGAAAUUCAAAAGGUGUUACCUUGAAUAAAUGUUAUUUUUCACAUUUCUCACUGUCUUCUUUAUAAAAAAUACAAAUACUAUGGAGUAAAUUUCAUAUUACCAUAAACUUUUUGCUACCCAGGAUUCUGAGAUGAAUGAAAUAAUCUAUUUGGGGACUUCCCUGGUGGUCCAGUGGUUAAGACUCUG